CUUCCUAUUUCCCUUCGUUUUUUUUUCUCUCGGCCACUAUUUCUCCCUUAUCCGUUCAAUUUCCUCCCCGACGCCCAUUCUUUCUUGUUUCGUUGUCAGACCACGAGCGGCGCUCGCUCCGGCCUCGUCUCCCGGCGCUGCGCUGCUGCUCCCUCUUGCCGCGUCACCCCGCGCUGCUCCCUCCGGCUGCGCUUCUCCCUCCACCUCUCUCUUGUCCUGCUGCGCCGCAUCUCCUCCGGUGCUGCUCCCCCUGCGCUCCGCAGAUGCGCCACCGUCGCUGCGCCGAUGAUGUUCCCUGGGUGACCGCGCCAUCCGCUGCUGGUAAGCGCCGCCCCUUCUUUCCAUUUUCCUUUCGGCCCACCGCUUCAUCCACUCCCCCCGCCGAGCUCCGCCCCAGCCGCUGCCUGUGCGCGCUCACCCAGCUCCACCCCGGCCGCCGGCCUCCGCCCCAACCGCAGCUUGGCCCAGUGGCAAAUCUACUAGUUUCCAUGAAAUAGCAGGGGCACAUGCAUCUUUUAGCGUUUUAGGUUGGGAUGACCGGAUGAGCCGGUAUAAGCUACAAUUUCAAGCUUCUCGCCCGCGGAGGAACGCAGACACGGUGCGGGGCUUCCGUCUGGCUUCUUCUCGUGAGCGCAUGGCUUCGUAAAAGCCGCUCGAGAAGCCGCUUGAUGAGCCUUGCCAAAGAGGGACUAAAUGGAUAAGAACGAGACCAGUAAAAGUUUCCUAAAAUUUUUCGUCACUGUAAAGUUUAUCAUUACAAAUUUUUUGACACCAAGAUUGAAUUAUCCGUAAUUUGGCCAAACAUUCAUGUUUCCGGAGAGACAGAACCUGGCAUUGGCAAUUUGACUACGGGUGAAGGAAUCUAAAGAUCGGCUGGAAGCUUACAACAGCUAGACGCACGUUGGGAAUCGAACAAACGCCAUUGGCACAAAGCAUGUGGAAGUACGAUCAUGCUCUGAUCUAUGCUAGAUCGCUCAAUCCAGAUUGUUUCGAUCUAUGCUCUGAAACUGCAGUUCUGCAGCACACGCUUCCUCGACACUGCUGUUAGCCGCAUUCAGUCUUGAGAGCUCUUCGUCUUCACGUUCUUUCUCCUCCGCUAUCUUGUGCGCUUCACCGCGAGCGCGCCCAAGUUCCUCCUCAAGCUUAGCUAUAGUUUGUUCCUUUUUGUCAAGUCGCUCAUCAAUUUGGGACAAGGAAGUUGUCUUCUCCAGCAACCGUGCUUUCAGCUGGUCUUUUUCUGUGAGGUAACUGAUAUGAUCAUGGUAUCUCUGUAAGACGGUUGCUUUUUGUCACUAGUGUAGCAGCAGUAUCUGUGCACACAUCUGCAUUUCUGUUCGCUUGACAAACCCUGUUGAUCGUAGCAGCCAGCUCUUUGUCCAACAGACCAGUACCGUCCUUUCUAGCCACUGCAGAUUGCAGAGCACUUGUCAAAUUUAAUAAACCAUCACAAUGAUGAAAAAUGGUAAGAGGAGCUACUUACAUUUCUUAGAGUUAACACCUUCAGUAUCUGAACAACUACUUGUCCCUCCUGACACCUUCAAUAGAUUGACAAACAGAAGAUCCGCAUGAACAUAAGAGGGUGUUUGAUACUAGGUGCUAAACUUUAACAGUGUCACAUUGGAUGUUCGAAUGCUAAUUAGGAGGACUAAACAUGAGUUUAUAUAAAACUAAUUGCAGAAUCCUAUGCUAAUUUGCGAGACAAAUCUAUUAAGCCUAAUUAAUUCAUCAUUAGCAAAUGGUUACUGUAGCACCACAUUGUCUAAUCAUGGACUAAUUAAGCUUAAUAGAUUCGUCUCACGAAUUAGACUCCAUUUAUACAAUUAGUUUUGUAAUUAGUCUAUAUUUAAUAUUCCUAAUUAGCAUCUAAACAUCUGAUGUGACAGGUGCUAAACUUUAGCAGAGAGUAUCCAAACGGGACCUUAAUAUAGAAAGGACAGGGUUAAACAGUCACAAAACUUUUCAAUCAGAAGAAUCUACCUGUCGAGUCCAAGUUGAAGUUUUCUGACAUUCUAGAGAGGCACUCGAAGCACAAAUAAUUUCCUUACCAGAGGAAUUCCUGCUUUCCUACAACUGAAUUUGCACCUGCAAAAAUAUUGGCAUGGACAAGAACUGUAAAUAGCCUGCAUGCAACUUUAGUAGACCAUGAAGGGAACUCACAUGAUCAGAUGCAUCAUUUUUCCCCGGAUGUGCUUUAGGGUGUGUUUCCCCUCUUCUGUUCUUGGAAAUGCCUUUCUUCACACUGAGUGCCUUGACAAUGAAUGGUCUUUCCUGUAUCUGCUGGUUUCUGAGAGAUGAAGCGAUGCCGAUGUUCUGUUUUCUUACUUCUGGAAUGGAAAGCAUAUCACAGGCCUCAUCAACAUUUCUUCCGCAGACAAGUGUAUUAAGCUGACCAUUGGAAGGCACAGAUUGGGCAUCUCGACUAAAUUCUGCUUCGCCAAUAACAUCUGGUACCGAUACCUCUGGAGAUGCUGAAUUUCCGGAGGAAGAACAGAGAAUCCUAUUCUUCGACAUUGAACUGACUAUCUUGUGUGCAAGAUUGGAAAGACCAUUUUUUUCAGGUAGUGGAGGGCACGAAACCAGAGGAUGAUUGCUUGCCACCGGAGGUGCUGUCUGCCCUGUCGAAGCACAAAGAAGCUCAUGUAUGGGUGCUAAACUUUUGCAGUGUCAUAUUGGAUAUUCGGAUGCUAAUUAGGAGGACUAAACAUGAGCUAAUUAUAAAACUAAUUGCAGAACCCCUGUGCUAAUUCACGAGACGAAUCUAUUAAGCCUAAUCAAUCCAUCAUUAGCAAAUGGUUAUUGUAGCACCACAUUUUCAAAUCAUCGACUAAUUAGGUUUAAUAGAUUCGUCUCGCGAAUUAGACUCCAUCUGUGCAAUUAGUUUUGUAAUUAGCAUAUGUUUAAUACUUCUAAUUAGCAUCCAAACAUUCGAUGUGACAGGUGCUAAACUUUAGCAGAGGUAUCGUUUGGGGCCUCAUUCUCUGACAUUGAACUGAUACUCACUAUCUUGGGUGGAAGUACGGAAAGACUAAUAGCGGUAGGCAUGAAUUCGGACAAUGAUCGCUUGCCAGAGACUUGCCCAAUGCACGUAGAGAAGCAUCCGUCUCAGAGACUGAAGCACGCUGUGAGCCUUCAUCUAAUAUGAGCUCUUGCUGCUGUGGUUCUUUCCUUGACUUUUUGGCUGUUGAAGAUUCAGGAUCACUACUAUGUUCGUCAUCACCAGAUGUGGCAUCAACAGGUGAGCUUUGACAUUUCCCAGAUGCAGAUUGCUGCCUCAAGUUAGCCUGUCUCUGCAUAAUUAAAGAAAUACCAAGAUGGAUCAUGCAAAUUCAGUUGCAGAGUAGGAUGAAAAGUUAAAAAUUUCAGAGGAACCAAUGCAUUGAACCAUAUGCAUCCAAGUUCAUAUGAACUAGUUAAAUGCCCUUAGCAGUAACUCUUACAGUAUGGCAACAAACAAUGUGAAUUGCAAAGCUAGGAAGCACAGGUACUAAAUGUGUUCACCGCAUUGCCUUAUCGCUCGGAAUCGUCCAAUGCUUGCCGUUCCACAUGUACAGCGGAAUUUCGUUGCCAUUUGGAAGCGCACGCCAUAGGGUUGGGCCAUCCGUUCCUCGCAUUUUCCCCGAGUAGAUCCUCACCACCUCGAAGGUCCGGACGCCGCUUCCUCGUGCGGCUCCCCAAGCGACGCCGAUCCGACUCCUCAUCCAAGCGCCGCCGCUGCUCCGAGCCUCCGUCUCCUCAUCUAGGCGCCACUGUCCCUCCGUCUCCCAUCCAAGCACUGCCGCCGCUCCUAGCCUCCGACUCUGUCAAUCUGCCUCCGUGUCCAUACAUCGUCGUGUCCCCUCCCCGUUGUUUGCAAUGCCACCUCCACCCACGGAUCUCUACCUCCGCUACCUCCUCCGCAUCCACCAUGGCGCCUCAACCUCAUCUUCCUCCUCGACACCCACUGCGAUGUGAGUUCUUCCUCCUUCCUCCUCUUAUCAGAUUGCCUAGGGUUUGCUCUUCUCAUGGCUGCAAUGUGAAUUCUUGUAGUUAACAUCUCGAUUCCCAAUUCUUCUGUCUGAGAUCCAAUCCUAGGAACAUCAACUAACCAGCACGAGCACCAGCACUGAUUCAAUUUUUUUAGUUAGAUAUAUAUGUUCAAGUCCUACAGAUAUGUACUCAUCAAAUUUUUAAGAUGAACACAAACAUUGCAGUAAGAAUGUAUAGUUAUAUGUUUCUUGCCUAUUUCAUUUUUCUUAUCGCAUUCUCCUUGUCAACCAUCCAUUUGUUUGUGCUGUCAUUUCAGUAGGUUAUCUGAAUUGGAAAAAAUAUUUACAUUGAUGCUGCACAAGUCAUCUUUGGUCUUUACACAAUCCUAGUAAUUAGUUAACUCUACUGCAAUAAAAAAUGCAUUUCUUGUUUCUUAACUAAACUGAAUUUUAGUUAACUUUGACAUCUCACGAGCUACUACUGAAUAAUUUUCUGCUUAACACUAUUGGUUACUAAUAACUUAAUUAAUUGCCUAAUCACGAUGAAUACUACCAAGGGUGGUUGUAAGUUUUUUUUUAGAUCAGGGUGGUUGUAAGUUGUAACACUCGGGCUGUGUGUAUCAGACACCUGUGCAGAGGUUGGAACUAUCUUUCAUUUUGUUUUAAGGAAAAAAAAAAGAUAGCGGUAGUACUGAUUAAAAAGCAGCAUUUGAAAGCAAUCUUACUAGAGUGUCUCUUGAAUCUUCAUAUACUGCGAUACACUGGCACUGAUGUUAUAUAUCUUGCUCAAUGCAUCUGCUUAUAAUAGUUUGCAUACGACGGAGAAGGUGACUGUAUAAAAUACCCUGGUUAAAUCUUCCCUUGCUUCCAAAGGAAGGCUUAGUUUGGCUACUGAGAGGAGGAGCUCAGGCAAGGCACAAGAUCUCUGGAGGGUGCAUAGGGGCCUGAUGAUGGCGACUUAGGCACUCAAUCUCCAUAUGUUCUUUCAGUGAGCAAUAAUUUGUAAAUGUGCCUUUUUAUUUCAGUGAGCAAUAAUCUAUCAUCUGCUACACCUGCACUAUAGAUAAUGUUCUUUCAGUUUGCCAAGCAGCAACUACGAGUAGCUGAAACAUAGAUAUAUAAUUGUCAAUGUCACUGAUUGCCUUUUUGAUUUCCUAUGCUGCAACUAAUCUGUAGAUAGCUGCAUGUAGACAUCUGUUCUGUUUGAAUUUGCGUAAUUCUCUGAGAUGAAUAGACAACUUCAUCUUUGUCAUGCCUUAAUUUUCUGUGCUUGAAUCAUGCCACUAAUUUGAAAUAAUCACUGCUCCUGAGAUAGUUGAUUGCAAUCUGUUUCUCGCAAAUAUGGUUAUGUGGAAGUAUCAUGACAAACUACUGCGAUAAAAACUUUGUUUGGACUGCUGCUAACAUAUGAUAAAUCUCUUAUACAGUAAUUAUAUCAUGCGGCAACAGUUGAGUUAAAAACUUUGUUUGGACUGCUGCUAACAUAUGCUAAAUCUCUUAUACAGUAAUUAUAUCAUGCGGCAACAGUUGAGUUAAAAACUUUCAGUUCUUUGUAUUCUGUUCGGGCAAGGCUUGUAGAAGCCGUAUGAGAUAGCUGACAUCGGUUUAAAGCUGAAGAGUACACCUGAUACUACUAUGUAUGUACCACUAAGAUAUUGUUACUAGCUGUUGACGUAGACAUGAUGUAUGGCUGGCUUAACUCACUCUUAUCACGGAUUAUUUAGCUCUUGGCUAUGCUGAGUUUGCGCUGUAUGUUUAGCAUGGUAGUGGUGGUGGCUGGUUUGUGGUAUGAUCAGCAAUGGAUUAAUAAAAUAGUAUAUUUCAUUUUCAUUUAUGAUUUUUUCAAUGCUGACUAUUAUUUAUUGUUUUUUUAGAAUCGAUGAACAGUGAAGUGUUGGAGAACAUGAAUACGGGAAAGAAUGUUGGAGGGAAGGUCCUUAGCUUAUUUUACUAGCUAAUCUCUUGUACAAUAAUUAGAUUAUGCGGCUACAGUUGAGUUGAAGGCAUUGUAGCAUAGAUGCUUAAAACAUGUAAAGAACAUAUAUUCAUUUAGUCCAGCUGGAUGCGAAUGUAACUUGGUGAUUGAUGUUGCUUGUUGAGCUUGUGGACAUGUUACUGAUUUUAUUUAUCAAGUUGCUAUUUUUUCUGA
rnacentral:lncRNA from 1 species